rfam:Apaloderma vittatum contig70060, whole genome shotgun sequence.
GGCUGGUUAGCUCAGUCAGUUGAGCGUGGUGCUGACAAUGCCAAGGUCACGGGUUCGAUUCCUGUUCGUGUCC